rnacentral:rRNA from 1 species
UACGUAGGGGGCGAGCGUUGUCCGGAUUCAUUGGGCGUAAAGAGCUCGUAGGCGGCUUGGCAAGUCGGGUGUGAAAACUUCAGGCUCAACCUGGAGCGGCCACUCGAUACUGCCAUGGCUUGAGUCCGGUAGGGGACCACGGAAUUCCUGGUGUAGCGGUGAAAUGCGCAGAUAUCAGGAGGAACACCAGUGGCGAAGGCGCCGCUCUGGGCCGUGACUGACGCUGAAGAGCGAAAGCGUGGGUAGCAAACAGG